CCAGCAGCCGCGGUAAUUCCAGCUCCAAUAGCGUAUAUUAAAGUUGUUGCAGUUAAAAAGCUCGUAGUUGGAUGUCUGGCUCGUGCAGCGCACUGUUCGCCGCAAGGUGCUACGGUGACGCACGGCCAUCCUCUCGAGGACGGUGCGUGCCCUUAACUGGGUGUGUAGUGGACUCGGGACCUUUACUUUGAAAAAAUUAGAGUGUUCAAAGCAGGCCAACGCUUGAAUACAUUAGCAUGGAAUAAUGGAAUAGGACUUUGGCUUCUAUUUCGUUGGUUUCUAGAACCGAGGUAAUGAUUAAUAGGGACAGUUGGGGGCAUUAGUAUUUAAUUGUCAGAGGUGAAAUUCUUGGAUUUAUGAAAGACUAACAUCUGCGAAAGCAUUUGCCAAGGAUGUUUUCA
rnacentral:rRNA from 1 species